GUUCGCGAGCGUCGCUCCUGCAAAAGGAAAGUUGACUCGCGUUAAAAUAAAUCUUUCGUUUCUAUUUGUCAGUUCGGAGAGAGAAAAAAAGGAGGAGGGAGUUAAGACCUCUCGAAAGCACAGCACCGGUCGCGAAAUUACUCGCGGUCGACGCCGCGGAAGGUGGAAAGACUGAUCCGACGAGCCUGAAUCGGAAUGAGGAGAGAGAAACGGCGUAGCGGACGGUAGUCAGUCACGUCGAUAGUGGCACGCGCUAAUUAGUCCCGAUUAACUGUUCCUCGCGUAUCAACGGCGUCGCGGCGCAGGGCUGCUGCUAUUCGUGUCAUGCGAUUCUUUCUGGCCGCGUUGCUGACGGCGGAAUUAAAUCUUGGCAGGGCGCGGAAAAACUGCAACCGGCUUGGAAAUACGUGUGAGGAGUGCCACGUCCAAUCUCUCCUCGUCGUCGUCGUCGUCGUUAUCGGACGCAGACGAUUCCCCGAAGAGGGCGGGAGAGAUAAACACGCGCGUUCCUCGGCCGUCGAACCUCUCUGAAUCCUCCGAGGAUGGAUGAGGAACGUGACGACGUGAACGGAGGCACACGCAGAGUUCGGCGCGAAGUGCGCCGCAUACGCGUGCGAGAGAUCGUUAUCGCGACGGACGCGGACGCGGCAACGUUUGAAAAAAAAAAAACGAGUUGGGUGCAUCAGCAACAAAGGAUAAAUGAUGAAUCAUGCGACGGAAUGCACCUUUAUUCUCGUUCACGGACGAAGCUGCGUCGUCGUACGUCGCUCUGCCAAGGGCGUGCAGUAAAAAUGACACGCGCGUCGAAGCGUCAAAUCGUACCUUGCGACUAGUCGGUGUCCCGCAUGCUGAGCACACUUUCUCGACACCACACUGGCGAAAUCGUCGCGUCGCUGCUCUCACCUCUCUCGUUCGUCCGUUCGUCCGCGCGCUAUCCUACGCGACGCACGAAUGCGUGAUCCGCAGCGCGUGGCGCAUCGGUUCGCCACCGUCCCUGCGUCUGUCCCUCCGCCCGGUCAUCCGUUCCUUCUCCGUCGUCGGGGACUGGACAACUCGCGUGUCGUGUCCUCAGUGUCUUCACUCCUCGAUCUCGCGUGCGUUCGCACCAGUUCGCACGCGAAGGGACGGAGCGCGGUGCGUGCGUGCGUGCGUGCAGCUGCACCGCGGCUCUACCUCUGCGCGCUUGCUGCGUGCAUUGCGUGACGGCGCGGGCGUGUCAUCGCGAGCCGGCCGAUCUCCCGCGCACGUAUAACACUAUAACCAUUGCGAAGAAUAAGUGCCUCGCAAGAGUAUUUCUCCCCUCCCGCACAGAGUAGACGUCGUAGACUCGCGGAAGGUGGCCCCGCGUGGCACGAUCGACGUAGAGUUCCUAUGACGGCCGCAGGAACGGCAUCGGGCGCACCGGAGCCUCGUAGUUGAAUUUUUUCAUACUGUAGUAUUUAUAUUUUAUAGCUCUUCUUCAAUUUAAUCUUUCUUAGAAUUAGAUAACGAUAAAGAAUAAAUUAAGUUAUGAUUGAGAUAGAGUUUGCCCCAUUUAUAAAAAAAAAAAAAUCGAUAGAAGAUGAUAAAGACAGAUUUAAACUUUAUUGACGUUUUAUCUAAUUUUAUAAUAAAAAAAUUAUCGUUUUAAUCGGACUUACGAUUAAAACAUAAUUUUAUUUGAGCUACGACAGACAAGCAUCUAUAUUAUAUGUUUCUUAAGAAUAUAAUUAUAUAUGUUAAUAACAUAAAAAACGAUAAUAAAUAUUUACGAAUUAAAAACAUGAUAGAAUAAUUAUAUAUAUGACUUUUUAUUUUAUUCUGUCGGAUUUUUAAGUAGGAUAUUGUAUCCUGCGGCUAUCCUGCCUUCUUUUUUUCAAGUGAACUUAUGUAUCGAUUUUUUAAUAUUAAAGAAAAAAUUAUUUAUUACUGCAAAA